CAGGAACAGAUUCCUCCUCCGCUUCCCCUGGUGGUCUGGCCGCGCGCCGCUGCUCAGAUCGAGCGAGAGGUGAGGCAGCGCCGGAUCCAGACCGAGCCGCCGGAAUGAGGUGCAACACCGGAUCCCUCAUUCUUCCAUGGAUGGACUUGUCAUCUUCCCUUUUGCCUUGCUGCUGCGAUUUGGUUUGCUUCCUCUCCCACCGCCUCUUCCUCACACACGCCAAGGCCAUGGCGCUGGAAGGAAACCCGGCCAUGGAACCGACAGCAGGCACGCCAUGGAGGGGAUGACGCCGUGCACGUGAGGAUGCCAUGGAGGACGCAGCUCCACCACCACCCCGACGCCAUCUCCGAGCACCCUCCCAAUACAUCUCCUGCGAGGUAUGACCUCAUCACGAGCCCAUGGAAGUGAAACUUGAUUGUGCAGUCGUCGGUUGCUGUCAUUGAUUAUGUGAUUGACUGAUUCUAUAGAAAAUGCCUCUUUUGGCUGAACAUAUAUGAGCUUUUAUUCGUUGGAUGUCGUGGCCUUAGUCAACACUUUUAGAUAACGGCGCCCUCGUGUAACUGCUUGAACAGAGGGUGACUAUUCAGUUAGUCGAGUAGUUUUCAUCCCUUUCCCUAUGAUGAUUUGCAUCUGAAAUGACAUGAACGUGUCACUUUAAUUGGGAAGUUGAUUACCCCAUGUUUCCUGAGCAAACCAUGCACUACUACUUGCAAACUUGUUACUGUAUAUGUGUGACUGGCAUCCUGCAGUUGACCAAUUGCCACAUCGAGAGAUUGAUUGGAAAAAAUGAACUUGCAAUUGUUCUUGAUUAUCCAUGGCUGCUGGGGUUAUCCUCCUUUUCAAAAAAAAAUUGUUCUUGAUUAUCAUCUGUUGAUUUGAACUAUACAGUGGUACAAUUUAUGUUCCUCACCCAAAAAACUAAGUGCCGAGAGUGGAUACCUGACUAAUAAGGCGACUAGAACAAGGGAGUGUUUUUAGUUCUCUUUUAGCUUUGAAAUAUUUAAAAAAUGACCCGGUAUAACCUUGUGAUUGAUUCUGUUGACACUAGCAUGCUCUGAUUGUUUUGGAGCCCAACGAUGGACUGUACGUACUAAGCUAGCUCAAGCACACAUACAACCAACUUGAUUGAUGUUUGUAGAUACUAGCAUUAGCACGUGUGUGUGUGUGUCUCCUAUACCAGUUGCUUAAUUUUUGUACUAGAUCAACAACACUAGCUCUUAGUUCUUUGUUAGAUUUGGAGCAGUAGGCAUCCUCUAUGGACGAUGACGACAACCAGGGCAUCCACCGCCACGACGAUGCUCCGCACAUGGUCCAACUCAGCUACACCUCCUCUACUGCGGGACGAAGACCAUGGCCGUGUGCGGCAUCGGCUACAACCUCCUCUCAUG
rnacentral:lncRNA from 1 species